UACGUAGGGGCGAGCGUUGUCCGGAAUGAUUGGGCGUAAAGGGCGCGUAGGCGGCUGUGCAAGUCAGUAGUGGAAGCCCAGCUUUUAAGGUUGGAAGUGCUAUUGAAACUGUGCAGCUUGAGUGCAGGAGAGGUUAUCGGAAUUCCCGGUGUAGCGGUGAAAUGCGUAGAGAUCGGGAGGAACACCAGUGGCGAAGGCGGGUGACUGGACUGCAACUGACGCUGAGGCUCGAAAGCGUGGGGAGCAAACAGGAUUAGAUA
rnacentral:rRNA from 1 species